rnacentral:rRNA from 1 species
UACGUAGGGCGCAAGCGUUGUCCGGAAUUAUUGGGCGUAAAGAGCUCGUAGGCGGCUUGUCACGUCGGGUGUGAAAGCCCGGGGCUUAACCCCGGGUCUGCAUUCGAUACGGGCAGGCUAGAGUGUGGUAGGGGAGAUCGGAAUUCCUGGUGUAGCGGUGAAAUGCGCAGAUAUCGUAAGGAAGACCAGUGGCGAAGGCGGGUCUCUGGGAAUGUACUGACGCUGAGGAGCGAAAGUGUGGGGAGCGAACAGG